rnacentral:piRNA from 1 species
UGACCAAUAGCGCUUGGCUUUUUUCA